rnacentral:rRNA from 1 species
UACGUAGGCAGCAAGCGUUGUUCGGAGUUACUGGGCGUAAAGGGUGCGUAGGCGGUUGUUUAAGCUUGGUGUGAAAUCUCCCGGCUCAACUGGGAGGGUGCGCCGAAUACUGAAUGACUCGAGUGCGGGAGAGGAGAGUGGAAUUCCUGGUGUAGCGGUGAAAUGCGUAGAUAUCAGGAGGAACACCGGUGGUGUAGACGGCUCUCUGGACCGUAACUGACGCUGAGGCACGAAAGCGUGGGUAGCAAACAGG